AGGAGAGCUUCCUUCCUUAAUUAUUUUCACCUGGUAGCAGGCUAUUGUCAGACCAGGGACCUCUCUGCCCCUUGGAGCAGCACUCUGAAUGAGAAAUACACUGUGCUCUGCGAAGUCUGGAGGACACAGAAGUGAAAUGGGAGAUGCUUUCUUCAGAAAUCAAUUGAAAUGUGGAUUUCCAAGGAGGCCUUGUCACGAUGGAACGUGAGCAUUCCUCACAUGCCUGGCAUCCCUGACGUGAAGCAGGAGGCAGAAAAAUGCCUACCAACUACUGGGGAUGCUUCAUCUGCCAGACUACCCUGGAUUGCCCGAGCUGC